AUUAUACAGCGGCAGAAACUGAGGGCCACAGAAUGUAAAUGAAUCUCUAAAUGCCAGACAACUGGAAAGUGGCAGAACUGCUACCAGGAUCGAAGUGUUUUCAGUAACAGAAGCUUUAAACAUAAACAUGAAUUAUUAAUUGCAAACUUCCUAUAAAUUCUACCAGAUUACCAUUCAAAGGCGGUGCAAGUCUAUCAAUGGAGAAUCCCUCUGGGACAGUGAUGAGGAACUAGGUGCAAAGCAGCAUGGGAAGACCUGGGGUAGGCGCGGAUUCCUGGCUUCUACUGAAAGAAGAAAAGGCACUGUUCAUUUCAAAGAAUAAUCCUGGUCGGAGGAUGGAGUCAAAUUGAUGGUGGGCUUGCGUUAGGACCGAAUACCGAAUAACUAGAGCUCAAGCAGAAGCAUCCUACUUCCAGUCAGUUCAGAAUCCCAAACAAAUUAAAGUGGGAAGAAAAGCAUCAUGAAGCAGAAAGUUCUCCCCAUUCUUGCCAGCAGAGCAGGAGCUACCUUGCAGGAGACAAAGAAGGGCCUGAACUAUGUGAUCGUCCUGCAGAGAGGUAUGGUUACAGUGGAAAUGGAGCCUUCUGUGCUGGUCUGCAGGAGGGCUGCUCUGCGGUAGCCCACAUUGGUGUUCUUUCCCUGUGGCUAUAGAGAUGCUAAUUC
rnacentral:lncRNA from 1 species